CGUGCGUUCGGAGGAGGAGGUUUGUGUAGCCUAGUUGAUGGAGCUUGCGGACGAUGGCGGAUCCGACUAGGCCGCGGUGGCCAGCGACGAAGAUUUUGGCGGAUUUGUCAGACAUCUCUGCGAUAUAAGCGAAAAGGUCACAGAUAGAGAGGAAAAGGGACGUACCUGAGCCGAUCGUUUCCGCCAUUUUCGAGUCGUGAAAAGUUCAAAGAGACGAAAGGUUGUGGAAAAAUCUGAGAGAUCGUGAGACGAGUUUGGUCAGCAGUUAAGUUUUUAUUAUAUUUUAGGAAAUUGAAUUUCUGGAGAUCUGAAGCAGUUGACUUUCUCUACCAAGGUAACGUAGUAUGAGGCGUUUCGUUUCAGUAUGGACGGAUCCUAAUCAUAUCGGCCCAUAACAGGCCCAUCUAUUUGAACCGAAUAUUUCCAGUUCGCAUUU